rnacentral:sRNA from 21 species
CGCCUUACUGGUCGGCUAAAAAUACACGGCAGCGGUAAGGGGAUACCGGUUUCUGUGGGGGCAGAGUUGAGACAACCGGCACGCGGGCGACGAUAGCGCGUGACUCGAAUGACUGUCUGAA